CGGUUCUCUGCAUAAGACACAACAAUCUGACAUAAAGUCACAUGUUUGCCAUUUCAAAACACUGCCAUUCAAAAUUACACUACAUGAGCUAAUUGGCCAAUACAUGUGCCACCUGGCCAAACACCUCAAUGGUUAAUUGUUACCACUUCAAUCAGGAAGUAAGCACUAUGAAAAGACCACAGGUGAGCACCUUUUGUUUUACAACAACAAUGGAAGCCGUUGCAGAGAGAGGAAAAGGGAGGGUGAGAAUGAGAGAGAGGGGGAGGAAGAGUGAGAGGUAGGAGUAGAGCUGGUAGAGGAGUUCAUGUCCAAAGAAGACAACAACUUUCAAAUGAAAUCAGAGCAACCUUAGUUGAUCAUGUCAUCAACCAUGGGCUGACAAUGCGAGAGGCUGGACAGAGAGUGCAGCCCAACUUGAGCCAUUGGAGUACAGGUAUGUAACCAAAAUUUCUUUCACACUAUGUAGUACACCCCAUGUCAUAGUGUAUCAGUUGGGUGACACUUGUUUACUUCAUGAAUGGCUGUCAUACAUUAACUGCACACAUUUCCUGUAGAAUUUACUCUACUGCAUUGUCAUAUAUAUAUAUUUUUUUCUUCCAAAUGACUGAGAGACGCAACCAUGGUGGAGGAAGGGGCCAAAUGUUCACCGGGGUACAUGAAGCUGCCAUUGUAAACUUAGUUUUGGAAAAUAAUGAAAUCAGAUUACGAGAAAUUCAAAGCCACAUCAUCCAAGACAACACCAUAUUCAACGAGUCACUGUCCACAUUGGCUCGCAUUCUCAAGCGAAACCAAAUCAGAAUGAAACAACUUUAUAAGGUGCCGUUUAAGAGAAACUCUCAAAGAAACAGAGGUCAGACGAGUAUAUGUGGAUGGAGUACUGGAAAUGGAUGCUCAUGCAAUCCCACAUCUUUAUAGAUGAGGCUGGGUUCAACCUUGCAAAGACCAGAAAAGACCAGAAGAAGGGGGAGAAACGUCAUUGGCCACAGAGCCAUUAUAGAUGUUCCUGGCCAACGUGGUGGGAACAUCACAAUGUGCGCUGCCAUCUCCAAUACACAUGGUGUCCUCCACCGUCAUGCCAACCUUGGACCAUACAACACAGCCCAUAUUCUCACAUUUCUGGACAGACUCCACAACAUUCUCAUACCAUCAAAGAACCCGAUACGUUGUAGUAUGGCACAACGUGAGCUUUCAUCGUGCAGCCCCAGUCCAAAACUGGUUUGCUGACCACCCACUAUUUCUCGUGGAAUACCACCCACCAUACUCACCAUUUCUCAACCCCAUAGAAGAGUUAUUUUCGGCAUGGCGGUGGAAGGUAUACGACCGGCAGCCCUUUGUGCGCAUGCCUCUUGUACAGGCUAUGUGAUGAGAUUGAUGUGGGUGCGAUUCAGGGAUGGAUAAGGCACUCAAGGCGCUUCUUCCCUCGAUGUCUGGCAAGGGAAGAUAUUGCCUGUGAUGUGGACGAGGCGUUGUGGCCAGACCCAGCUGUGCGGAAAGAUGCUGCCUAAUUAUUCUUCUUGCCUCUUUUCUAUAUUUUUUUUCUGCCCAUUAUUUAUUUUUUUUCUGCAAUUUUCUUUUUCAGUUUUGUUUUUUUGUCAGCAUAUUUUUGUUCAGUCCAAUGUAACUAUCUGCUGUGCACUGACUUGUUUGGUGAAAAAAUAAAAUGUUUCAACAGCAUGUGUGUAUCUGCAAAUAUUUCUGUGCAUCUGAAGAAUUUUCUACAAUUUAAACUAUUUUAGUAUUAUGGCAAAGCAUACUAAAGAUGAGAGUGCUUUUCAUUAUGCCCAACAGUGUG
rnacentral:lncRNA from 1 species